UACGUAGGGGGCAAGCGUUGUUCGGAAUUACUGGGCGUAAAGGGCGCGUAGGCGGCACGGCAAGUCAGGAGUGAAAGCCCUGGGCUCAACCCGGGAACUGCUUUUGAAACUGCCGAGCUAGAGUGCGGAAGGGGCAACUGGAAUUCCCAGUGUAGCGGUGAAAUGCGUAGAUAUUGGGAAGAACACCUAUGGCGAAGGCAGCUUGCUGGGACGGUACUGACGCUGAGACGCGAAAGCGUGGGGAGCAAACAGG
rnacentral:rRNA from 1 species